GAUAUAUAAUUGCAACAUAACCAAGUCCUUAAUAAUGUGAAAGACAGCCAAAAUGCAAAGAGGAAAAUGGGAUAUAAGGGCUGAAAAGCUGCCACAUAACUAGAAUUCAUGUCCUCAUAUUUUACUUGAGAGAGGUGGGACAGUGGCAUGUACAGGAGAUGAAACUGAAUAGACAUAUCGCUGCUUGUGAGCCUAUCCAUCAUGAAGCUAGGAUUUCAUGCACGUGUGGAUAAAUGCACACGAUUCACGAACUGAAAUUUCUGGUGAUGAGGCACGCCGGUCUCGGACAUCACUUGAAAAAUCCGAAUUCAAAUUGAAAUUUAAAUUUUAU
rnacentral:lncRNA from 1 species